rnacentral:misc_RNA from 1 species
GGUUGGAUCAUUAACAAAUAAAUUUAGGCCCCCGGCUGCCCCUCAAAAGGCGAUGGGGAAAACCUAAACAUUUGUGUGCACCAUAUCUGUUUUUGGCAGUUCGAGUGUCCUGAGUUUAAACAACAGACUCAGGUACCUACCUAGGCAAACCUUCGGGUGCUGAGGUUGGGCUGCCGCCCACUUUGAACUAACUUUUGUUUCAUAUUAAUGCCUGAAAUUGUUUGAUCUUCACAGAUUGAAUUUUAAAUACAACUUUUGACAACGGAUCUCUUGGCUCUCGCAACGAUGAAGAACGCAGCGAAAUGCGAUAAGUAAUGUGAAUUGCAGAAUUCAGUGAAUCAUCGAAUCUUUGAACGCACAUUGCGCUCUUUGGUAUUCCGGAGAGCAUGCCUGUUUGAGAAUCAGUAAAUCUAUCAACCGCUUUUAUUGCGGUUGGAUAUGGGUCCUUUGAGACUUCACAGCCUCAAUGACCUGAAAUGAAAUGUUACGCAUCCUUGGACUAACAGUUCUUGGGCAUACGCAUGAAUGAGGCAACUCACAAGUACGUCUGUUCUCAUGGAAUUGUCGGUUUGAUUGGACUGGGUAACUCAACUAUUAUCCAGAGUUGGACGACGUCAGUCAGCCUUCUUUGAACACUUGGUCUCAAAUCAGGUAGGAAAACCCGCUGAACUUAAGCAUAUCAAUAAGCGGAGGAAAAGAAACUAACAAGGAUUCCCCUAGUAACGGCGAGUGAAGCGGGAACAGCUCAAAUUUGAAAUCUCACAGGUUUACCUGUGCGAAUUGUAGUUUAUAGAAACGCUUUCGGGGGUGGCUCUGGCAUAAGUCCUUUGGAAUAAGGCAUCAUAGAGGGUGAGAAUCCCGUUUAUGGUCAGGUGUCCGCUCCUAUGUGAUGUGUUUUCUAAGAGUCGGUUUGUUUGGGAAUGCAGACCAAAAUGGGUGGUAAAUACCAUCUAAAGCUAAAUAUUGGCGAGAGACCGAUAGCGAACAAGUACCGUGAGGGAAAGAUGAAAAGAACUUUGAAAAGAGAGUUAAAAGUACGUGAAAUUGUCAAAAGGGAAACGCUUGAAACCAGUAUUGCGUUCAGGUAAUCAGCCGUUCCUUCUGGGACGGUGCACUUGCCUGCUUGCGGGUCAACAUCAGUUUGGUUCGGGAUAAAAAGCCUUGAGAAGGUAGCCCCUCGGGGUGUUAUAGCUCAAGGUCAUGUCUCGGGCUGGACUGAGGUCUGCAGUGUUUUUUGGGUAGCCAGUCGCCUCUUGAACCCCUGUUAUAGACAGCAUGCUGACUAUGACUCGGUCUAGGGAGCCCGGUUGGGAUUCCACACCAACACUUAGGAUGUUGACGAAAUGGUUUCAAACGACCCGUCUUGAAACACGGACCAAGGAGUCUAACAUAUAUGCGAGUGUUUGGGUGGUAAACCCUUACGCGGAAUGAAAGUGAACUUAGGUGGGAUCUUAGGUGCACCAUCGACCGGUCUGGAUUUUUUUGAUAGAUCUGAGUAAGAGCAUAUCUGUUGGGACCCGAAAGAUGGUGAACUAUGCCUGAAUAGGGUGAAGCCAGAGGAAACUCUGGUGGAGGCUCGUAGCGAUUCUGACGUGCAAAUCGAUCGUCAAAUUUGGGUAUAGGGGCGAAAGACUAAUCGAACCAUCUAGUAGCUGGUUCCCUC